rnacentral:rRNA from 1 species
CAGCAGCCGCGGUAAUACGGAGGGCGCGAGCGUUACCCGGAUUUACUGGGCGUAAAGGGCGUGUAGGCGGCCUGGGGCGUCCCAUGUGAAAGGCCACGGCUCAACCGUGGAGGAGCGUGGGAUACGCUCAGGCUAGAGGGUGGGAGAGGGUGGUGGAAUUCCCGGAGUAGCGGUGAAAUGCGCAGAUACCGGGAGGAACGCCGAUGGCGAAGGCAGCCACCUGGUCCACUUCUGACGCUGAGGCGCGAAAGCGUGGGGAGCAAACAGGAUUAGAUACCCGCGUAGUCCCUGUCUCUUAUAC